AGCGAACGCUGGCGGCAGGCCUAAUACAUGCAAGUCGAACGGCUCUUCGGAGCAGUGGCGGACGGGUGAGUAACACGUGGGAACGUGCCCUUUGGUACGGAACAACUGAGGGAAACUUCAGCUAAUACCGUAUGUGCCCCCAUUCUUAGCGGGAUGGGUGGGAAAGAUUUAUCGCCAUUGGAGCGGCCCGCGUUGGAUUAGCUAGUUGGUGGGGUAAAGGCCCACCAAGGCUACGAUCCAUAGCUGGUCUUAGAGGAUGAUCAGCCACACUGGGACUGAGACACGGACCAGACUCCUACGGGAGGCAGCAGUAGGGAAUCUUGCGCAAUGUGCGAAAGCCUGACGCAGCCAUGCCGCGUGAAUGAUGAAGGUCUUAGGAUUGUAAAAUUCUUUCACCGGGGAAGAUAAUGACGGUACCCGGAGAAGAAGCCCCGGCUAACUUCGUGCCAGCCGCCGCCGUAA
rnacentral:rRNA from 1 species